UACAGAGGGUGCAAGCGUUGUUCGGAAUUAUUGGGCGUAAAGGGCACGUAGGUGGUCUUACAAGUCUACUGUGAAAUCCCUGGGCUUAACCCGGGAAGUGCGGUGGAUACUCUAAGACUUGAGUACCGGAGGGGUGCGUGGAAUUCCGAGUGUAGCGGUGAAAUGCGUAGAUAUUCGGAGGAACACCAGAGGCGAAAGCGGCGCACUGGACGGUAACUGACACUCAAUUGCGAAAGCGUGGGGAGCAAACAGG
rnacentral:rRNA from 1 species